rnacentral:rRNA from 1 species
UACGCAGGCGGCUUGGUAAGACAGAUGUGAAAUCCCCGGGCUUAACCUGGGAACUGCAUUUGUGACUGCCAGGCUCGAGUCUGUCAGAGGGGGGUGGAAUUCCACGUGUAGCAGUGAAAUGCGUAGAGAUGUGGAGGAACACCGAUGGCGAAGGCAGCCCCCUGGGAUGAGACUGACGCUCAUGUACGAAAGCGUGGGGAGCAAACAGGAUUAGAUACCCUGGUAGUCCACGCCCUAAACGAUGUCGACUAGUUGUCGGGAAUUUAUUUUCUCGGUAACGCAGCUAACGCGUGAAGUCGACCGCCUGGGGAGUACGGUCGCAAGAUUAAA